CAGACAGAGAAGAACGGGGGCGGUCGGCUGGGACCGGGAUCUUCAUUGAAUUGUGGAUACGAUGGAAAGGGAUUCACUUUCAAAAGCUGACAGCAUAAUUAGAUCCGGGUUUGGAGCGUAGGAUGUCCGCGUUGAAGUUGAAACAGUCAGACAAAAUAAAAGAAACUUUGAGUAAUAAGAAGUUUUACAAAUCAGAUUAAGGUAAAAAUAGAAUCAGCCUAAUGCAGAGUAAUCCAAUGUUCUUGUUAGAAUUUCCGUCAUGCUGCCUCUUGUUACCCUAACCCUCUAUGUCCAGAGGACACCGACAAAUGCACAAACUGGCUUAAAGUCAACAAAAUAGACACUUUUGGUGGAGAUAAAGAGCUCUCAAAGAAACAAUGAGCUGCCGACAUUUGGAAAUCAAUCAAAGACUUACACAGCUCCAGGGCAGCCACAACAAAUAUCGUCAUUUCAACAAUGGAAACCUACGAAAGACGACGAACCGAGGUCAAUGGAAGACAAGUCAGUCUAAGUUUCUUGAGCGCUCUAUCAGUCAUCCGACAACUUGGAAUCACGAUCAUCACCCCUGAGCGAGUGCCGAGCAUCGGCAGCAAUGAAUCACACAGCUGAUUUGUCACCGUCACGUCUCCGUGCGAGCGGCCCGGUUGUUUAUCAGGCAGAGAAAAGGAGCAGGAUGUGAUGUCGUUAGGAAGCUGUCAGCUCCAUCUGAAUCCCAUUAGCCAGUCUCUGCGUCUUUACACUUCCUCUCUUAAAGAGUUAUUCUUUUAUUGACUGGAUAUGAUCGUUACAGAUGGGCGAAUCGAUCCAAAAUAUUGGUAAUUUCGAUACCAAGCUGAUAUCAGCAUCGGACCGUUAUUAAAGUGAUACGAUCGAUGCUUUAGUUUCAGAUUCCCUCUUGAAAUGCUAUUUUCUUUUCGUAUUGUGGCUUCUCAGUGCUACCUCAAAAGUAGUACCUUAUUUAGGAAAAAAUGUGCACAAAAUUGUUUGCUAUUUCAAUCGUUUAUCAUGUUAGUGUGCAAUGACAUUGUUUUGUAGACACCUAUGAACUUUGUCCAAAUUCUGCUCGAGGUUUAAAUAAAAACAAAAAUCGGAAAAACACCUAUAAUUAAAAAAUUUGAUGAUAUAUUAAACUAAAAUAAUAAAAAAUAUCAUCAGAAUCGAAUUGAUACUAGUGUGGUAAGAUCAAUGCUUUAAGUUCAGAUUCCCUCUUGAAAUUUUAUUUUAGUAUUGUAAGUUUCCCCAACUCAAUGGAAAUAAAAAUUUGUUUUGAUUUUUGCAU